rnacentral:rRNA from 1 species
GACGAACGCUGGCGGCGUGCCUAAUACAUGCAAGUCGAGCGGACAGAAGGGAGCUUGCUCCCGGAAGUUAGCGGCGGACGGGUGAGUAACACGUGGGCAACCUACCCUGUAGAUCGGGAUAACAUCGAGAAAUCGGUGCUAAUACCGGAUAAUCAUUUGAAGUGCAUGCUUCGAAUGUAAAAGAUGGCUCCGGCUAUCACUACGGGAUGGGCCCGUGGCGCAUUAGCUAGUUGGUAAGGGAAUGGCUUACCAAGGCAACGAUGCGUAGCUGACCUGAGAGGGUGAUCGGCCGCACUGGGACUGAGACACGGCCCAGACUCCUACGGGAGGCAGCAGUAGGGAAUCUUCCGCAAUGGACGAAAGUCUGACGGAGCAACGCCGCGUGAGUGAUGAAGGUUUUCGGAUCGUAAAGCUCUGUUGUUAGGGAAGAACAAGUGCCGUUUGAAUAAGGCGGCACCUUGACGGUACCUACCAGAAAGCCACGGCUAACUACGUGCCAGCCGCCGCCGUAAGAC